AUGGGAUUGAGUUUUAGGGUUAUUGCUUCAAGGGGGAUUUCAAUAAGUUGAGGGUGGAGGGGGGGGGGGGGUUAAUUUGUUUACAAAUUUUUUAAGGGAUUCCCUUUUUUUCAAAAUUUUUCAAAUUUUUGAUUUUUGAAAAGUUUCAUGCAAUAAUGUUCAGCAAAGUAAGAUCUACAAUGGUCAACAUAACCAAAAUUUUCAAUGUACUCUCUUAACGAGUUGUUGCCCUUUAUAGUCAAUUUUUAACAACUUUCUCGUAAAUUUU
rnacentral:lncRNA from 1 species